UACGUAGGGGGCAAGCGUUGUCCGGAAUUAUUGGCGUAAAGAGCUCGUAGGCGGCUUGUUGCGUCGACCGUGAAAACCCGUGGCUUAACUGCGGGCUUGCGGUCGAUACGGGCGGGCUGGAGUUCGGUAGGGGAGAAUGGAAUUCCCGGUGUAGCGGUGAAAUGCGCAGAUAUCGGGAGGAACACCGGUGGCGAAGGCAGCUCUCUGGGACGGUACUGACACUGGAGACGCGAAAGCGUGGGGAGCGAACCGG
rnacentral:rRNA from 1 species